CGGGGAUGUGCCUAAUACAUGCAAGUCGAACGCGUUGGCCCAAUUGAUUGAUGGUGCUUGCACCUGAUUGAUUUUGGUCGCCAACGAGUGGCGGACGGGUGAGUAACACGUAGGUAACCUGCCCAGAAGCGGGGGACAACAUUUGGAAACAGAUGCUAAUACCGCAUAACAACGUUGUUCGCAUGAACAACGCUUAAAAGAUGGCUUCUCGCUAUCACUUCUGGAUGGACCUGCGGUGCAUUAGCUUGUUGGUGGGGUAAUGGCCUACCAAGGCGAUGAUGCAUAGCCGAGUUGAGAGACUGAUCGGCCACAAUGGGACUGAUACACGGCCCAUACUCCUGCGGGAGGCAGCUGAAAGGAAUCUUCCUCAUUGCGCG
rnacentral:rRNA from 1 species